UACGUAGGGGGCAAGCGUUGUCCGGAAUCAUUGGGCGUAAAGCGCGCGUAGGCGGCCCGGUAAGUCCGCUGUAAAAGUCCAGGGCUCAACCCUGGAAAGCCGGUGGAUACUGUCGGGCUAGAGUGCGGAAGAGGCGAGUGGAAUUCCUGGUGUAGCGGUGAAAUGCGCAGAUAUCAGGAGGAACACCAAUUGCGAAGGCAGCUCGCUGGGACGUUACUGACGCUGAGACGCGAAAGCGUGGGGAGCAAACAGG
rnacentral:rRNA from 1 species